rnacentral:rRNA from 1 species
AAUGGGCCACNCNUGACCAGCGACGCCGCGUGACUGAUGAAGCCUUCGGGGUGUAAAGUCUUCGGCAGGGACAAUAAUGAUGGUACCUGCAGAAGCAGCUGCGGCUAACUACGUGCCAGCAGCCGCGGUAAUACGUAGGCAGCUAGCGUUGUUCGGAAUUACUGGGCGUAAAGCGAGUGUAGGCGGUUUGCCAAGUCCGUUGUGAAAUCUCCCGGCUCAACUGGGAGGGUGCGGCGGAAACUGGCAGGCUAGAGUACGGAAUGGGAGAGUGGAAUUCCUGGUGUAGCGGUGAAAUGCGUAGAUAUCAGGAGGAACACCGGUGGUGAAGACGGCUCUCUGGACCGUUACUGACGCUGAGACUCGAAAGCGUGGGGAGCAAACAGGAUUAGAUAUC